GAUGAACGCUGGCGGCGUGACUAAUACAUGCAAGUCGAGCGAAGCGGGGAAGGGUGAGUAACACGUGGAUAACCUCCUAUAAGACUGGGAUAACUUCGGGAAACCGGAGCGAAACCGGAUACUUAUCGAUGGAUCCGCGCUGCAUUAGCUAGUUGGUAAGGUAAAGGCUUACCAAGGCAACGACGCAUAGCAGACCUGAGAGGGGGAUCGGCCACACUGGAACUGAUCCCCGGUCCAGACUCCUACGGGAGACCGCAGUAGGGAAUCUUCCGCAAUGGGCGAAAGCCUGACGGAGCAACGCCGCGUGAGUGAUGAAGGUCUUCGGAUCGUAAAACUCUUUUAUUAGGAAAGCGGUACCUAAUCAGAAAGCCACGGCUAACUACGUGCCAGCAGCCGCGGUAAUAC
rnacentral:rRNA from 1 species